GAUGAACGCUGGCGGCGUGCCUAAUACAUGCAAGUCGAGCGAAUGGAUUAAGAGCUUGCUCUUAUGAAGCCAGCGGCGGACGGGUGAGUAACACGUGGGUAACCUGCCCAUAAGACUGGGAUAACUCCGGGAAACCGGGGCUAAUACCGGAUAACAUUUUGAACCGCAUGGUUCGAAAUUGAAAGGCGGCUUCGGCUGUCACUUAUGGAUGGACCCGCGUCGCAUUAGCUAGUUGGUGAGGUAACGGCUCACCAAGGCAACGAUGCGUAGCCGACCUGAGAGGGUGAUAGGCCAAACUGGGACUGAGACACGGCCCAGACGCCUACGGGAGGCAGCAGUAGGGAAUCUUCCGCAAUGGACGAAAGUCUGACGGAGCAACGCCGCGUGAGUGAUGAAGGCUUUCGGGUCGUAAAACUCUGUUGUUAGGGGAGAACAAGUGCUAGUUGAAUAAGCUGACACCUUGACGGUACCUAACCAGAAAGCCACGGCUAACUACGUGCCAGCCGCCGCCGUAA
rnacentral:rRNA from 1 species